rnacentral:rRNA from 1 species
CCGCAAUGGACGAAAGUCUGACGGAGCAACGCCGCGUGAGUGAUGAAGGCUUUCGGGUCGUAAAACUCUGUUGUUAGGGAAGAACAAGUGCUAGUUGAAUAAGCUGGCACCUUGACGGUACCUAACCAGAAAGCCACGGCUAACUACGUGCCAGCAGCCGCGGUAAUACGUAGGUGGCAAGCGUUAUCCGGAAUUAUUGGGCGUAAAGCGCGCGCAGGUGGUUUCUUAAGUCUGAUGUGAAAGCCCACGGCUCAACCGUGGAGGGUCAUUGGAAACUGGGAGACUUGAGUGCAGAAGAGGAAAGUGGAAUUCCAUGUGUAGCGGUGAAAUGCGUAGAGAUAUGGAGGAACACCAGUGGCGAAGGCGACUUUCUGGUCUGUAACUGACACUGAGGCGCGAAAGCGUGGGGAGCAAACAGGAUUAGAUACCCUGGUAGUCCACGCCGUUAACGAUGAGUGCUAAGUGUUAGAGGGUUUCCGCCCUUUAGUGCUGA